CAGCAGCCGCGGUAAUACAGAGGGUGCGAGCGUUAAUCGGAUUUACUGGGCGUAAAGCGUGCGUAGGCGGCUUCUUAAGUCGGAUGUGAAAUCCCUGAGCUUAACUUAGGAAUUGCAUUCGAUACUGGGAAGCUAGAGUAUGGGAGAGGAUGGUAGAAUUCCAGGCGUAGCGGUGAAAUGCGUAGAGAUCUGGAGGAAUACCGAUGGCGAAGGCAGCCAUCUGGCCUAAUACUGACGCUGAGGUACGAAAGCAUGGGGAGCAAACAGGAUUAGAGACCCGAGUAGUCCCUGUCUCUUAUAC
rnacentral:rRNA from 1 species